CCUACGGGCGGCUGCAGUGGGGAAUAUUGGACAAUGGGCGAAAGCCUGAUCCAGCCAUGCCGCGUGUGUGAAGAAGGCCUUCGGGUUGUAAAGCACUUUCAGUGGGGAAGAAAGCCUUGGGGCUAAUACCCUCGAGGAAGGACAUCACCCACAGAAGAAGCACCGGCUAACUCCGUGCCAGCAGCCGCGGUAAUACGGAGGGUGCGAGCGUUAAUCGGAAUUACUGGGCGUAAAGCGCGCGUAGGCGGUCUGAUAAGCCGGUUGUGAAAGCCCCGGGCUCAACCUGGGAACGGCAUCCGGAACUGUCAGGCUAGAGUGCAGGAGAGGAAGGUAGAAUUCCCUGUGUAGCGGUGAAAUGCGUAGAGAUCGGGAGGAAUACCAGUGGCGAAGGCGGCCUUCUGGACUGACACUGACGCUGAGGUGCGAAAGCGUGGGUAGCAAACAGGAUUAGAUACCCGUGUAGU
rnacentral:rRNA from 1 species